GACGAACCGAGCGAACGUUAUUCGGAAUCACUGGGCUUAAAGGGCGCGUAGGCGGGUGAUCAAGUCAGGGGUGAAAGCCUCCAGCUUAACUGGAGAAGUGCCUCUGAUACUGGUCGUCUCGAGGGGGAUAGGGGCAUGCGGAACUUCCGGUGGAGCGGUGAAAUGCGUAGAUAUCGGAAGGAACACCGGUGGCGAAAGCGGCGUGCUGGGUCCCUUCUGACGCUGAGGCGCGAAAGCCAGGGGAGCGAACGGG
rnacentral:rRNA from 1 species